AUAAUACUCCCUCCAUCCCAAAAUUCUAGUCUUAGAUUUGUAUAGAUAUGAAUGUAUAUUGUCAUAUUUUAGUACUUAGAUACAUCCAUUUUUAGACAAACUUAAGACAAGAAUUUUGGGAUUGGGGGAGUAUAAG
rfam:Hordeum vulgare subsp. vulgare, WGS project CAJW01000000 data, contig: morex_contig_1614588